rnacentral:rRNA from 1 species
UACGAAGGGGGCUAGCGUUGUUCGGAAUUACUGGGCGUAAAGCGCACGUAGGCGGAUAUUUAAGUCAGGGGUGAAAUCCCGGGGCUCAACCUCGGAACUGCCUUUGAUACUGGGUAUCUUGAGUAUGGAAGAGGUAAGUGGAAUUGCGAGUGUAGAGGUGAAAUUCGUAGAUAUUCGCAGGAACACCAGUGGCGAAAGCGGCUUCCUGGUCCAGCACCGACGUUCAGGCACGAAAGCGUGGGGAGCAAACAGG